rnacentral:rRNA from 1 species
UACGGUAGGGGGCUAGCGUUGUCCGGAAUCAUUGGGCGUAAAGCGCGUGUAGGCGGCCCGAUAAGUCCGCUGUGAAAGUCCAGGGCUCAACCCUGGGAUGCCGGUGGAUACUGUCGGGCUCGAGUCCGGAAGAGGCGAGUGGAAUUCCUGGGUGUAGCGGUGAAAUGCGCAGAUAUCAGGAGGAACACCAAUGGCGAAGGCAGCUCGCUGGGACGUGACUGACGCUGAGACGCGAAAGCGUGGGGAGCAAACAGG